ACUCCUACGGGAGGCAGCAGUGGGGAAUAUUGCACAAUGGGGGAAACCCUGAUGCAGCCAUGCCGCGUGUGUGAAGAAGGCCUUCGGGUUGUAAAGCACUUUCAGUAGGGAGGAAGGUAGUGUAGUUAACACCUGCACUAUUUGUACGUUACCUACAGAAGAAGCACCGGCUAACUCCGUGCCAGCAGCCGCGGUAAUACGGAGGUGCGAGCGUUAAUCGGAAUUACUGGGCGUAAAGCGCAUGCAGGCGGCCUGUUAAGUCAGAUGUGAAAGCCCGGGGCUUAACCUCGGAAUUGCAUUUGAAACUGGCAGGCUAGAGUCUUGUAGAGGGGUUAGAAUUUCAGGUGUAGCGGUGAAAUGCGUAGAGAUCUGAAGGAAUACCAGUGGCGAA
rnacentral:rRNA from 1 species